rnacentral:tRNA from 1 species
GCUCUCGUGGCCGAGUUGGUUAGUUCGUCGUACUUAUAAGCAGUGCAGGAGUAUAUGCGAAGGUCGAGUGUUCGAUCCCCUCCGGGAGCA